rnacentral:sRNA from 1 species
UUCUGGUCCUGCUCACUUCAGUACAAGAAUGUGGCUUCACUGUUGCUUCGGUCCUGAACAUGUAAGUGUGCAACACCACAGACACGGCCUGAGAUACCUCAGCUCAAAUCUACAAUCCUGACGUUUGCUGCUCUCAUAUAAGCAAUGAUGUCGUUAUGGGAAAUGAAGACUUUCAAUAUUCCCGCCGUCCUUCCCCAGUAUGUGUCAGGAUAGCACAUCUCUGGGCUACGUCCUCGCAGACAGUAAGUACAAGCAUACACAUCUGAUUAGGACACAGGUAUUUCUAUCUUUAUUGUGCAUUAAUAUGAUAUACAUACCAAGCAAUUGUUGGAAAAUAAAUUUCUUUAUGUUUCAUUUUCAGUGGAUGUUUGAUGCGGACACUAUUAUUUAUAUAUAUAUGGUUGGUGAUGACCACCAACUAUAAAGUUAUUUUUCAUUGCUAUUUGCAGCUGUAAUUUUGCUUCUACUAUGAAUCAUAGUGUAACAUCUCUGUUUUCCUAUGGCCUUAGGAGACCCCUGUAAAAGGGUCAUUCAAUCCCAAGGAAUCCCAACCUCCGGAUUGAGAACCACGGUUCUAGAAGCUGGAGAUUAAAUGCUUCCUAUAGCAGUACUGAACAGGAUUCCUGUACCCACUAAAAUGUGCGUUUCAGAGCAUCUCUUGGCUGGGCAGGGAAAUGUCUUACAAACCAACAGGAGAUGACAAGCACUGUGAACAAGACUGGAGCAGGACAAGUGACCAGUGAGUGGUUCGGAUCAGAUAUCUUGUGGAGGUGGCAGGCUCCGCCAAGGAGGGUAGAGGCCUGAAAGACUUCGUGGCCAGUGCAGUGGAUCAGACAGACACACUGACAUCAUUGUCUUCUCAGAAACUUGUGUUGCACAACUCUCUGGAAGCGUAAUGUUCUCUUGAAGAAAAUAAGGAUUUUUAAGGACUUCUAAGCGUGAAUAUAGUCUUUCCGAUACAUUUCUCAAACAAAAUAUGUGUGGAGGGCUUCCUUGGGCACCUGGCUUCGGUUUAGUCAGACCUGAGUUCGGCUGCUACCUCUCUUGAUUCCCACAUCCUGUUGGCCGUCAUCCUGUCUCCUCACCCACGUGAGCCGCACAACGCUCGUCUUUAGCAGGGUGAUAACGGUCACAUUUGUUUCCAUGGUUUUUGAUUGUUUGCUUUGCUUCUUAGAUCGAAUGCGCUACCACGCGCAGAGCGCGCGGCCACAGCCAGUGCUCUCCAGAGCACCGCAAUUCUCUCGUGCUGUCAGCCAUUUUCUCUGAGCCUUCCGGGAAAGGAGCUGGCUGUCAAGCCCCGGAGACCUGCCUGGCUCCUCUUCCUGACUGCAGGGAACCUGAAUUCUGUGACUCUAAAGACAAGCACUUCACUGGCUGGGCCAUCUCCUUGCCCCUUACUUAUUGAGAAUAUCAACAUCAACACCCAGAGCAUAAUCCUGUGAGGACGCCGUGAGAGGCCUGAGCAUUUCCUUUGCUCCAGAUGCUGUAAGGGGUUACUGUCAUGCGCCCUGUACUGACCUUUCAGGAGGAGGUACAAAUCCUCAUCUCACUCAGGAUGGAGACCCAAAGAGACAGAAUACCAUCCCAGGUCCCUCAGCCACCAUGUCUGCCAGGAGAACCCCACAGGAGGGACUGCAAGCCUUGAAAUUAAGAUACCACUUGAUACUUCUGCUUCCCGUUUCCUGUCUUGGGGGAGAGCCUCGAAGCAAAACACUCAAAACACUCAAACCACAUUUGUUUGGACUUAUCCUGGAUGCCUCUGGAUCUGAGAUCCUGACUCAACACCACUCUGCUACCCAGUGGGGAAGACCAGCUUAUCCCAAAGGGACGAGCCUGUGCUACCUGGUUCUGGUUUAGUCCCCAGCUGCAUCCCCAAGAGAGCUCACCUAGCCCCCUGCCAUAAAUCUAACUGAGUUACAAGUUUAAACCAAAGUGACAUGCUAGAAGCAAUAAUUGGUUUAAUAUUCUCAAGGAGCAGAAGAUGGUAAUUUCCUCGGGGACCAUAGAAGAAUAAUGCAGUUCUGAGGUCCCAGAAAGGGAUGGCUGGAGUAGGCUUGAAGUCCGUACAGCCGUCUGCAAACACAGGAUCACCGAUGCCCCUGCGAUAGCGCUCUCCCUCCCCUUGGAACAGUAGCUUCCCACGAUUAUUUUAGCUGACAUCCCCUUUCCAACUUUAAGCAGUGUUCUUUCAACAUCUCUAAACUUUUGCAGUUCCUCCCCAAAAACCGUGCUAUGAAUUUGCUUGUCACUAUAAGCCGUACACAAAGAGAGACACAUACAGCAAGCACAAAGGUAUCAGGAAGUGGUUUUCCUAGCAACAGUAAUCAUCAGAAAGAUCCCAGAACAUCCGCUCUAUUCAUACAGCAUUUCGUGUUUUGAAUAGCACUGACAGGUGAAGUGGAUUCACGGUAUUUAAUACAAAAAAAAAUAUUGCUGGGGAUUGGUGCUGCACAAAGGCAAAAAUAUCCAUACUAUUCACAGGCAGCUGAAUUCACUGUUUUCAUAUCUAUCUAGAUUAUUUAGCGAGGGACAAUUGCAAGAGCCAAUACUCACCUGCUAGCCGAAUGACUAAUCCGGGUGUAUUAUAGAAGCUCUGGUUCCCUAGACUUCCUUCGGGCAACUGGGACACCGCUCUAAAUCAAAUCCGGCCUGCGCCGUGCACGACAGCUUUGUGCAAGGUUUGAAUGAUAAAGAGACGUCCCGCUUGCCGGGUCCCUGGGCAGAUGUGUCCAGUUUAAAUAAAAGGAACCAGGGCUGCUGGCGAAGUCAUUGACCCCCCAAGGGGCGCUGUCUGGUUAUUGC